rnacentral:rRNA from 1 species
UGAGUAACCUGCCCUUAACUCUGGGAUAAGCCUGGGAAACUGGGUCUAAUACCGGAUAUGACUCCUCAUCGCAUGGUGGGGGGUGGAAAGCUUUUUGUGGUUUUGGAUGGACUCGCGGCCUAUCAGCUUGUUGGUGAGGUAAUGGCCUACCAAGGCGACGACGGGUAGCCGGCCUGAGAGGGCGAUCGGCCACACUGGGACUGAGACACGGCCCAGACUCCUACGGGAGGCAG